GCCGCUCAGUCGGAGUGGUUAACGAGUCAGACUUGAAUGCUCCCACGCAUCGAGACAUCUGAUGCCUUCGGGCGCGCAGGUUCGAAUCCUGUCCGCAGCG
rfam:Pseudocercospora fijiensis CIRAD86 unplaced genomic scaffold MYCFIscaffold_10, whole genome shotgun sequence.